CCACACACACCAGCCUCUGGGCCCAGGGGACGUCUGAGUGCCUGUGUGCCGGGCAGGGGUGGGGGCAUGGGUGUUCUGACCGCCUCCUCAGGCGCCAGCUCUCUCUGGGUCAGGGGUGGGGGCUGGGCCUGGUAGGAGGAGGGGUCGUACCCAGGUCCCCUGCCGGAGGCGGGCACCAGCCUUGUGGGCACUUUCUGGGCCGUGGCUGAAAGCCGGAGGUGCCCUCGGCUGGGCCCUGGGUUCAGGAUGGGGGCAUGCUGUCCCCCCACGGGGGUAGGCUCCUAGGCGGGCGCAGGCGGGAGAGGGGGCAGAGCGCCACCCUGGGACACCAUGGGGCAUGGUGCUGCCUGCCUGGCCUCUGCUGAGCCCACGGUCCAGCGCACAGGCCUCAGAUCGACCCCUCCGUGGGCUGGGGCACCUGCGAGAGAGGCUGAGGACACAGCCCGACAGAGCAGACCGUCCCCGGCAGGAUGACCCAGAAGACGAGGUGAUGGGGACUGCAAGGGUGAGCGUCGUGGUCAUGGCACGGAGGAAACGUGCUGAGCUGCGGUCUCUGCGUCCACAGCCCCUCUGCCCGGUGCGGAGGCGACGCGGGGCAGAAGCGCCCCAGGAGUGAACCGACAACCGCGGCUCUGCCCCCCCGACCCCCCGAACCUGGAGGCCCUUCUGCGGAGGCUGUGGUUCCCGCCUGGCAACUUCUUCACGCCAGCGAAGGGGCCGCUCCGGGGAGGUGGCCCCGUCACUGUGGCAGCCUCGCUCCACGGCUGUAGUGUCCUUUCGGAUGGGGAGAGAAUCAUCACUUCAGAGGGGGAGGAAACUUUUCUCUGUGUAUCACCUGGGCUGUUUGUGGCUGCAAACAACCUUCGUCACCCGAUGUGCCUCUGUGAUGGGCACUGGGCAAAGAAAUGUAUUCAGUUGCAAAAGAAUUCCAGAAAAACGUUUACUUCUGCUUCAUUGACUACGCUAAAACCUUUGACUGUGUGGAUCAUGACAAACUGUGGAAAAGUAUUAAAGAGAUGGGAAUA